rnacentral:rRNA from 1 species
CGGACGGGUGAGUAACGCGUGGAUAACCUGCCGUAUACUGGGGGAUAACACUUAGAAAUAGGUGCUAAUACCGCAUAAGCGCACAGUCUCGCAUGAGACAGUGUGAAAAACUCCGGUGGUAUACGAUGGAUCCGCGUCUGAUUAGCUUGUUGGCGGGGUAACAGCCCACCAAGGCGACGAUCAGUAGCCGGCCUGAGAGGGUGAACGGCCACAUUGGGACUGAGACACGGCCCAAACUCCUACGGAAGGCAGCAG